rnacentral:rRNA from 1 species
GACGAACGCUGGCGGCGUGCUUAACACAUGCAAGUCGAGCGAUGAAGUUUCUUCGGAAAUGGAUUAGCGGCGAACGGGUGAGGAACACGUGAAGAAUCUGCCCUCCACUUUGGGAUAACACAGGGAAACCUGUGCUAAUACCGAAUAUUGAAACAUAAGUGGCAUCACUGAGUUUUGAAAGAAUUUCGGUGGAGGAUGACUUCGCGGCCUAUCAGCUAGUUGGUGAGGUAAUGGCUCACCAAGGCAACGACGGGUAGCCGGCCUGAGAGGGCGACCGGCCACACUGGGACUGAGACACGGCCCAGACUCGUACGGGAGGCAGCAGUGGGGAAUAUUGGGCAAUGGAGGAAACUCUGACCCAGCGACGCCGCGUGCGGGAUGAAGGCCUUCGGGUUGUAAACCGCUUUCAGUAGGGAAGAAGCGAAAGUGACGGUACCUACAAAAGAAGCACCGGCUAACUAUGUGCCAGCCGCCGCAGUAAGAC